rnacentral:rRNA from 1 species
AUUAAUAAUAAAAUAAAACUGAUUAAACGUGUUUCUUAUGGUUAUAGAAAUUUCUGGAAUUUUAGGAAUCGUAUCUUAAUGAUUUCUAAGGUAUUUGUAAGUGAAUAUAAAAAACGCAUUAAACAACAAAAUAGAAACCGGGGCUAAUGCCGGAUAACAUGUUGAACCGCAUGGUUCUACAGUGAAAGACGGUCUUGCUGUCACUUAUAGAUGGACCCGCGCCGUAUUAGCUAGUUGGUGGGGUAACGGCCUACCAAGGCGACGAUACGUAGCCGACCUGAGAGGGUGAUCGGCCACACUGGAACUGAGACACGGUCCAGACUCCUACGGGAGGCAGCAGUAGGGAAUCUUCCGCAAUGGGCGAAAGCCUGACGGAGCAACGCCGCGUGAGUGAUGAAGGUCUUCGGAUCGUAAAGCUCUGUUGUUAGGGAAGAACAAAUGUGUAAGUAACUGUGCACAUCUUGACGGUACCUAACCAGAAAGCCACGGCUAACUACGUGCCAGCAGCCGCGGUAAUACGUAGGUGGCAAGCGUUAUCCGGAAUUAUUGGGCGUAAAGCGCGCGUAGGCGGUUUUUUAAGUCUGAUGUGAAAGCCCACGGCUCAACCGUGGAGGGUCAUUGGAAACUGGAAAACUUGAGUGCAGAAGAGGAAAGUGGAAUUCCAUGUGUAGCGGUGAAAUGCGCAGAGAUAUGGAGGAACACCAGUGGCGAAGGCGGCUUUCUGGUCUGCAACUGACGCUGAUGUGCGAAAGCGUGGGGAUCAAACAGGAUUAGAUACCCUGGUAGUCCACGCCGUAAACGAUGAGUGCUAAGUGUUAGGGGGUUUCCGCCCCUUAGUGCUGCAGCUAACGCAUUAAGCACUCCGCCUGGGGAGUACGGUCGCAAGACUGAAACUCAAAGGAAUUGACGGGGACCCGCACAAGCGGUGGAGCAUGUGGUUUAAUUCGAAGCAACGCGAAGAACCUUACCAAAUCUUGACAUCCUUUGACCGCUCUAGAGAUAGAGUUUUCCUCUUCGGAGGACAAAGUGACAGGUGGUGCAUGGUUGUCGUCAGCUCGUGUCGUGAGAUGUUGGGUUAAGUCCCGCAACGAGCGCAACCCUUGAACUUAGUUGCCAUCAUUCAGUUGGGCACUCUAAGUUGACUGCCGGUGACAAACCGGAGGAAGGUGGGGAUGACGUCAAAUCAUCAUGCCCCUUAUGAUUUGGGCUACACACGUGCUACAAUGGACAAUACAAAGGGCAGCGAAACCGCGAGGUCAAGCAAAUCCCAUAAAGUUGUUCUCAGUUCGGAUUGUAGUCUGCAACUCGACUACAUGAAGCUGGAAUCGCUAGUAAUCGUAGAUCAGCAUGCUACGGUGAAUACGUUCCCGGGUCUUGUACACACCGCCCGUCACACCACGAGAGUUUGUAACACCCGAAGCCGGUGGAGUAACCAUUUUGGAGCUAGCCGUCGAAGGUGGGACAAAUGAUUGGGGUGAAGUCGUAACAAGGUAGCCGUAUCGGAAGGUGCGGCUGGAUCACCUCCUUU